rnacentral:tRNA from 1 species
GCCGAGAUGGUGAAAUGGUAUACACGCUACUUUGAGGUGGUAGUGUCAUUAAAUGGCAUACGGGUUCAAAUCCCGUUCUCGGCACCA